rnacentral:rRNA from 1 species
UACGUAGGGGCUAGCGUUAUCCGGAUUUACUGGGCGUAAAGGGUGCGUAGGCGGUCUUUCAAGUCAGGAGUGAAAGGCUACGGCUCAACCGUAGUAAGCUCUUGAAACUGUAAGACUUGAGUGCAGGAGAGGAGAGUGGAAUUCCUAGUGUAGCGGUGAAAUGCGUAGAUAUUAGGAGGAACACCAGUUGCGAAGGCGGCUCUCUGGACUGUAACUGACGCUGAGGCACGAAAGCGUGGGGAGCGAACAGGAUUAGAUACCCUGGUAGUCCCU